rnacentral:tRNA from 1 species
CGGAGCGUAGCGCAGCCUGGUAGCGCACCUGGAUGGGGUUCAGGGGGUCGGAGGUUCGAAUCCUCUCGCUCCGACCA